GUCAAAAAGAUCAGACAUUUCAGGGCAGUGCCUCAACAAAAGACCUUACCCAAUCACUUCUGUGGCAAAGGGAGUUUAAAAUAUCUGGUCAGAUUGGGGAACCAGGGCAGAAAGAUAAACUUAGUUUUUCCAGCUUGGCCCAUCAAAUCGAGAACGGAAAAAAUAAGAAUGUCCCUGAACACGAAAUAGUCCAUGCAGUAAUUAAAGCCAUCGUCCCUGGCAUGCAGCUACGCAGUUAUCUAGAGGGCAAAGCAAACUUAACACUGCCUAACCUGAGAAGGAUCCUUCGCUCACAUUACCAGGAGAGGGGCGCCACAGAGCUGUACAAGCAACUGAUGUCAGAAGUCCAAGACGGUAAGGAGACACCCCAGAACUUUGUAAUUCGUGUUUUAGAUCUUAGGCAGAAGAUUUUAUUUGCAUCACAGGAAGCGGAGUCUAGUCUCAAAUAUGAUCCCAUUCUGGUGCAAAAUAUGUUUCUGCAUACAGUUCUUACCGGUCUGCAAAAUGACUAUAUCAGAGGGGAUCUGAAACCAUACCUGCAACAAACAGAUGUGAGUGACGAGCUGUUGUUAGAGAAAUUAAACCUUGCAUGUAUGACUGAAACAGAGAGACAAAAUAAAAAGAAAACUGCAGUCCAGCAUCAUCCAGUGGUGAUGCAUUCGGCAGAAUACAACGAUAUCCCAACACCUGCAGAAAAGAAAGGGAAAACAUCACUUCAGGAAAAUAAAAAUAAGCAUAACCCUGAUUUGCUAAAUGAACUCAGAGAAAUAAAAUCAGACAUGGCACUAUUAAAGAACCUCAGCGCUGAAGUGUCACAGAUUAGAGAGUCGAUUCAAUUACCCCAGACAGCUGCGGAACAGGGUCUGUCCUCGCCAGGUUUCCGAAACUAUGCCUCAGCUACUCACCCUGAAUGCCCAUUCCCUGGGUACUGGCCCAAUUACAAUCCAGGACAGAGAGGGAGAACAGCUCAGUUCCAGCAAGGAUUUGCACCACACCGUCUUUCCACUCAGACAAGAAGUCAACGAAGAAGAUGCUUCAACUGUCAGCAGAGUGACACUGAAAAUUAUUGCACCUACUGCUAUAGAUGUGGAAGCAGUGAGCAUUUCUUUGCGGGCUGUAGAGCAAGGGCAGUAAACUCAUCCAGGGAUGCUUAUUUAAACGAGAGAGGGUUACUUCCACGGGACAGGGAGUAGCCUGCCAGAUGUUAGAGUCCCAUCAACAAUGCUCGGGGUGUGGGAUGAAGAGAAAUGGCCAUAAUUUACGAGUAUGUCCAUCCUGCCGCAAAGCUCUCUAUUGCUCCAAGUUAUGUCAGGCUCGUCACUGGAGUAGACACAAGAAAGAUUGCCAGCAGAAAGGGCGUGAAGAUGUGAAAGAAUUAAGUGCCAUAAUGAAAACAAUUUCAAACAAAUCACUGAGCAUGGCAGCUUUAGUGGGAAAACAGUGUCUCAUUGACUGUUAUAUCCAG
rnacentral:lncRNA from 1 species